AGGAAUAAAAGGAAGAGGUUACAGCUGACAGUGUUCCACUGACAAGCAAUACUGACUAAAGCCAAAAGAUAGGAUCAACAGUACAGAACGGAAGUAAUGGAAUAGUUGACUGCUCACCCUCAAAAAUAACACACACCUGAAUACUACAAAACGUGGGAGUUGUGCUCUUUAUGGUGUUUCGUAUCAGACGAGGACAUAGAUAUCUACCAGAAGACUUCCCAAGGUGCUUAUAGUUCCUACAAGGUUAGUGAAUCUGUUAUAAAAAUUGAAAGUACUACCAUUGGUAGAAAAUUUUGUUUGUGAGGUGCGGGGGGAAGGGUGGAAGG
rnacentral:lncRNA from 1 species